UUGCUAAGGCCGAUGGCGACCGGCGCACGGUGAGUAACACGUAUCCAACCUGCCGAUGACUCGGGGAUAGCCUUUCGAAAGAAAGAUUAAUACCCGAUGGCAUAAUAGAACCGCAUGGUUUGAUUAUUAAAGAAUUUCGGUUAUCGAUGGGAUGCGUUCCAUUAGGCAGUUGGUGGGGUAACGGCCCACCAAACCUUCGAUGGAUAGGGGUUCUGAGAGGAAGGUCCCCCACAUUGGAACUGAGACACGGUCCAAACUCCUACGGGAGGCAGCAUG
rnacentral:rRNA from 1 species